ACGGGGUGCAGCAGGCGCGAAACCUUUGCAAUGUGCGAAAGCAUGACAAGGUUAAUCCGAGUGUCUCCUGCUAAAGGAGUCUUUUGUCAGUUGUAGAAUCACUGAUGAAUAAGGGGUGGGCAAGUUCUGGUGUCAGCCGCCGCGGUAAAACCAGCACCUCAAGUGGUCAGGAUGAUUAUUGGGCCUAAAGCAUCCGUAGCUCGUUUUGUAAGUUUUCGGUUAAAUCCAUGCGCUUAACGUAUGGGCUGCCGGGAAUACUGCAUAACUAGGAAGUGGGAGAGGUAGACGGUACUCGGUAGGAAGGGGUAAAAUCCUUUGAUCUAUUGAUGACCACCUGUGGCGAAGGCGGUCUACCAGAACACGUUCGACGGUGAGAGAUGAAAGCUGGGGGAGCAAACCGGAUUAGAUACCCGGGUAGUCCCAGCUGUAAACGAUGCAGACUCGGUGAUGCAUUGGCUUGUGGCCAAUGCAGUGCCGCAGGGAAGCCGUUAAGUCUGCCGCCUGGGAAGUACGUACGCAAGUAUGAAACUUAAAGGAAUUGGCGGGGGAGCAC
rnacentral:rRNA from 2 species